rnacentral:rRNA from 1 species
UACGUAGGGGGCAAGCGUUGUCCGGAUUUAUUGGGCGUAAAGAGCGUGUAGGCGGCCGUGUAGGUCUGACGUGAAAUCUGGAGGCUCAACCUCCAGCUGUCGUUGGAAACCGCGCGGCUAGAGUCCGGAAGAGGAGAGUGGAAUCCUGGUGUAGCGGUGAAAUGCGUAGAUAUCAAGAGGAACACCUGCGGCGAAGGCGGGUUGCUGGGCCGACACUGACGCUGAAGCGCGAAAGACAGGGGAGCGAACGGG